UCUUGGUCAUUUAGAGGAAGUAAAAGUCGUAACAAGGUUUCCGUAGGUGAACCUGCGGAAGGAUCAUUACAGAAAGUAAACGCGGAUCAAACCGCGAACUUCUAAACCUUUGACGAUUGACUUAUGUUGCCUCGGCGGGUUCUCCCGCCAGAGGAUAUAUCAAAACUCCUGUUUUAACGGUGCUGUCUGAGCUACAAGCAACGAAUCAAAACUUUCAACAACGGAUCUCUUGGUUCUGGCAUCGAUGAAGAACGCAGCGAAAUGCGAUAAGUAGUGUGAAUUGCAGAAUUCAGUGAAUCAUCGAAUCUUUGAACGCACAUUGCGCCCCUUGGUAUCCCGAGGGGCAUGCCUGUUCGAGCGUCAUUUCACCACUCAAGCCUGGCUUGGUGUUGGGCGACGUCCCUUAGGGACGCGCCUCGAAACGCUCGGCGGCGUGGCACCGGCUUUAAGCGUAGCAGAAUCUUUCGCUUUGAAAGUCGGGGCCCCGUCUGCCGGAAGACCUACUCGCAAGGUUGACCUCGGAUCAGGCAGGGAUACCCGCUGAACUUAAGCAUAUCAAUA
rnacentral:rRNA from 1 species